rnacentral:sRNA from 1 species
CCCCUUGGGGAGUAGCCGGCUUCCAGCUCCUGGAAGCAGCCCACAUCAACAUGCUUGGCCAGUGCGCCAUGGUGUGGGCAACCAGUCCGGUAGGCGAGACCAGCGGCGUGCGUGCACAACAUCGGUUGGGCGCGUGCGUGCGCCGUUUUCGCCCCGCCCGAC